GACACUACGCCGGUAGAACGGAUCACAUUGAUGUUGUGAAAUAUGAGAUAAUUCUUUAGUGUUU
rnacentral:tRNA from 1 species